rnacentral:rRNA from 1 species
AUGUAUGAAAGCUCAACAAAAGAAACUAGUGGGUGUGCAUCCAACUUGCUUGCUCACGAAGACCUAGGGCAUUUUGAGGAAGCCCAUCAUAGGAAUAUACAAGCCAAGUUCUAUAAUGAAAAAUUCCCACUAGUAUAUGAAAGUGAUAACAUAUCAGACUCUCUAUAUGAAGAACAUGGUGCUACUUUGAAGCACAAGUGUGAAAAAAAGAUAGUAACAUUGCCCCCUUUUUUAUUUUCUUUUUUUUUGGGCCUUUAUUUUUUUAAUUUUAUUUGGCCUUCCUUUUUUUAUUUGGCCUUUCUUUGGGGGGGGGACAAUGCUCUAAUAAUGAUGAUCAUCACACUUCUAUCUAUUUACAACUCAUGA